GGAAUAUUGGACGUAAAGAGCUCGUAGGCGGUUUGUCGCGUCUGCCGUGAAAGUCCGGGGCUCAACUCCGGAUCUGCGGUGGGUACGGGCAGACUAGAGUGAUGUAGGGGAGACUGGAAUUCCUGGUGUAGCGGUGAAAUGCGCAGAUAUCAGGAGGAACACCGAUGGCGAAGGCAGGUCUCUGGGCAUUAACUGACGCUGAGGAGCGAAAGCAUGGGGAGCGAACAGGAUUAGAUACCCGAG
rnacentral:rRNA from 1 species